CCUACGGGUGGCAGCAGUGGGGAAUAUUGGACAAUGGGGGGAACCCUGAUCCAGCGAUGCCGCGUGAGUGAAGAAGUAUUUCGGUAUGUAAAGCUCUAUCAGCAGGGAAGAAAGAAAUGACGGUACCUGACUAAGAAGCCCCGGCUAACUACGUGCAAGCAGCCGCGGCGAUACGUAGGGGGCAAGCGUUAUCCGGAUUUACUGGGUGUAAAGGGUGCGUAGACGGCGAUGCAAGUCUGAAGUGAAAGGGGGGGGGCCAACCCCCGGACUGCGUUGGAAACUGGAUGGCUGGAGUGCAGGAGAGGUAAGUGGAAGUCCGAGUGUAGCGGUGAAAUGCGUAGAUAGUAGGAGGAACACCAGUGGCGAAGGCGGCUUACUGGACUGUAACUGACGUUGAGGCUCGAAAGCGUGGGGAGCAAACAGGAUUAGAUACCCCUGUAGUC
rnacentral:rRNA from 1 species